AACAGACCAGGGCAAAGUCGGUCUUUCCUGCUACUACUACAUGCUACUUGACUAUGUCUGGAAGCCAUGGCUGCUGCCCUCAACAUGCUAAACUGAAACCCUCACAAAUAAAGUCACAAAUCAAGAAUUAACAUUGACGGUGAUGGUGGCAAGGGUGCCUUCAUAAGAUGCCAUCCAGCAAGUCCCAGCCUGGAGCCAGAGGCUGGCACUGCACGUCAGAUGGGGGAGGAUCUAUGUUAGGCAUCAGAAAGGUGGUUUAAGCAAGAAGGCAAGAGCUUCUGCAGACAGUGUUGCAAUUAGACACCUGACUUUAACUGCCAAAGGGACCAUCAGAGCACCUCUCCCUACCCUGCCGGACAUCUAUACCAGAAGAGUACGG